AUUGAACGCUGGCGGCAGGCUUAACACAUGCAAGUCGAACGAUGAAACUCUAGCUUGCUAGAGAUGAUUAGUGGCGGACGGGUGAGUAACAUUUAGGAAUCUGCCUAGUAGUGGGGGAUAGCUCGGGGAAACUCGAAUUAAUACCGCAUACGACCUACGGGUGAAAGGGGGCGCAAGCUCUUGCUAUUAGAUGAGCCUAAAUCAGAUUAGCUAGUUGGUGGGGUAAAGGCCCACCAAGGCGACGAUCUGUAACUGGUCUGAGAGGAUGAUCAGUCACACCGGAACUGAGACACGGUCCGGACUCCUACGGGAGGCAGCAGUGGGGAAUAUUGGACAAUGGGGGCAACCCUGAUCCAGCCAUGCCGCGUGUGUGAAGAAGGCCUUUUGGUUGUAAAGCACUUUAAGCAGGGAGGAGAGGCUAAUGGUUAAUACCCAUUAGAUUAGACGUUACCUGCAGAAUAAGCACCGGCUAACUCUGUGCCAGCCGCCGCGGUAACAC
rnacentral:rRNA from 1 species